GACGAACGCUGGCGGCGUGCCUAAUACAUGCAAGUAGAACGCAGUUGCGAACGGGUGAGUAACGCGUAGGUAACUGCCUCAUAGCGGGGGAUAACUAUUGGAAACGAUAGCUAAUACCGCAUACUGUGAGAUGGACCUGCGUUGGAUUGGCUAGUUGGUGAGGUAAAGGCUCACCAGGGCGACGAUACAUAGCCGACCUGAGAGGGGGAUAGGCGACACGGGGAAUGAGACAAGGCCCAGAAUCCUACGGGAGGCAGCAGGAGGGAGUCGGUGGGAAUGGAGGGAAGUCGGACCGAGCCACGCGGCGUGAGGGAAGGAGGGUUUCGGAUCGUAAAGCUUUGUUAUUAGAGUAGCGGUAACUAACCAGAAAGGGACGGCUAACUACGUGCCAGCAGCCGCGGUAAUUC
rnacentral:rRNA from 1 species